UACAGAGGUGGCAAGCGUUGUUCGGAAUUACUGGGCGUAAAGGGCGAGUAGGUGGCCAUCUAAGUCAGACGUGAAAUCCCCCGGCUUAACCUGGGAACUGCGUCUGAUACUGGACGGCUUGAGUAUGGGAGAGGAACGUAGAAUUCCAGGUGUAGCGGUGAAAUGCGUAGAUAUCUGGAGGAAUACCGGUGGCGAAGGCGGCGUUCUGGACCAUUACUGACGCUGAAUCGCGAAAGCUAGGGGAGCAAACGGG
rnacentral:rRNA from 1 species